AAGGGCUGCUUUAUCAAUGUUGGGCGGCGGGAGAACGUCAGAAACAGCAGUCGGAAGGAUACGGUGAUUAAGGCCCCGACGAGACCAAAUUACUGAUUAGUGAUUACAACGCUACGCUACAUCGUGAAACACCAUAACAGUUCUUCAACUUUGAUUGGGUCCCACCAGUCUCAUCAACACUGCUUUAUCGUUUCCAUCACAAAGCCCUGCCGAACCAGUCGUCAUCGUCGUCGUGGUGACGGCCGGAACCCUAGAAAUUCCAAAUCCUAAUCUGCAAAUGGUGGAGGACGACCACUCAAUUCCACACCACAAACACUGCGGUUUCUUGAGUGCAGUUCUCGCAAUCAAUCCGCCCCAAACCCUCGAUUCCGGCACUCGCUGUCACAUCUUCGGAGACGGAUCCGAGGUCGGCUUCAGAUCCGAGAACGACGUUAUUUUGUCCCCGGUUGAUUCCAAAGCGAAGACGUCCACUGGAGACUCGGGGGAAUGCAGUAGGCGGAAGAGGAAGAGGGGAAUUGGGCUGGUGCACGGGAGUAUAAGCGUGGUUCGUCAGAUUCACGCAUUGGUAGUGCACAAAUGUGUGAAAAUUGUUGCGCGAGUGGUUAGAGUUUGUGGAGAAGCUAGGGCUGUGGUGCUUGUGGAUGUGUAUCUUCCAAUUGAGUUGUGGUCCGGCUGGCAAUUUCCUCGAUCGGCGUCCACUGCCGGUGCUCUCUUCAGGCAUUUGAGUUGUGACUGGGAAGAGAGAAGUUCAGUGCUUGUUAAUCAUGAAGAGUAUUAUAAAUACAAUGAUGGGGACAAUAGGAGUCUGUGGAAUCUCUCUGAUUGUCACGUUCUUGGAUGUAAGCUGCAUUGCAAUGCCCUAGAUCCUUCCAAGAAAAAGCUAUUUGAACUUCAUGAAAUUUUUAAGAGCUUACCUAGUGUAGCAAUGAAGGGACAGCCUGAUUCCUCAAGAGUAAAACCAUCAGAUGCCUCUUGUCAAUCUGGCAUUUGGGAGGUAUCUGAUGAUGUUUUGAUUAAUAUAUUGACUGCACUUGCACCAAUGGACCUUGUCAGGGUGUCUGCAACCUGUCAUCAUCUAAGAUCCUUGGCUGCAUCUAUCAUGCCAUGCAUGAAGCUCAAACUUUUUCCUCAUCAGCAUGCAGCAGUUGAGUGGAUGUUGCAGCGUGAGCGGAAUGCUGAAAUCCUGCCACACCCUUUGUUCAUAGAUUUUUUAACUGAAGAUGGGUUUGCUUUCUAUAUAAAUACUGUCACUGGUGAAAUAGUCACUGGGAUGCCCCCCUUGAUUAGAGAUUUCCGUGGGGGGAUGUUCUGUGAUGAGCCUGGUUUAGGUAAGACUAUAACUGCUCUCUCUCUUAUUUUGAAGACUCAAGGAACAUGGGCAGACCCACCAGAUGGAGUACAAGUAAUCUGGUGUACACAUAAUUCAGACCAGAGAUGUGGAUAUUAUGAGCUUACCAGUGACAAUGUCAGUGUCAAUAAAAUGUUCUCGGGAAAAAGGAUUCUUGGUCAGGUUGCUCGAAGGGGCUGGUUGUCUUUAGAUAAACCUACUCCCAUGGAGAAUAGAAAAUAUUCUUCCCCUGAAAGAACCAGGUUAGUGAUUCCUGGUGUGCAAAUUGCAGGAUCUACUGAUUCAUGCCCUGGUAAAGUAAUAAAAUCACCAACAACUGUGCGCUCUAUGCCUGCAACCCGUGUAGUUCGAUGCACCAGGAGCUUGAGCCGUGUCAAGAGAAAUCUCGUUUAUGCAUAUGAGGAAGCAUCUGGGUUUGGUAAAGAAAGGAAGCUUAAGAAAAAUUCGAGUGAAAGGAGGCAAGUAGCAAAUACUCCAAGACAUCUCUCUGUUGACAAGCGAGUUGGUAUAUCGCAUGGACUGCCACACAAGUGCAAGAGGUCUGAGAAGGAUUCUGAAGAUCAUUCUGAAUGUAAUGAAACUUGGAUUCAGUGUGAUGCUUGUCAUAAGUGGCGGAGGCUUGGGGAACCAAGUGUAGCAGAUGCUGCUGCAGCUUGGUUUUGUAGUAUGAACUCUGAUCCUUCAUACCAGAGUUGUAGGGUUCCAGAAGAAUCUUGGGAUGAUCGCCAGCCGAUAACAUACUUACCGGGAUUUUAUGCUAAAGGAACUCCUGGGGGAGAAGAGCAGAAUGUAUCAUUUUUUACCAGUGUGCUUAAGGAGCACUAUGCAUUUAUAAAUUCUCAAACUAAGAAAGCACUAAUUUGGUUAACCAAACUUUCUCCAGAUAAACUUUCAGAAAUGGAUACUGUUGGUCUUCGACGCCCUGUCUUGGACACGCAUCUAGUAUCUGGUGGUGACCAUGGAUUCCAUAAGAUAUUUCAAGCAUUUGGUCUUGUUAGGAGAGUUGAAAAGGGAACUAGUAGAUGGUAUUACCCAGAAAAUCUUGAGAACUUAGUUUUUGAUUUGCCUGCUCUAAGAAUUGCUCUAUGUGAACCAUUAGAUUCUUUCAGGUUAUAUUUGUCAAGGGCAACUUUAGUUGUUGUUCCAUCAAAUCUUGUUGAUCAUUGGAAAACCCAAAUCCAAAAGCAUGUCAAACCCGGUCAGUUGAGAGUUUAUGUCUGGACUGAUCAUAAAAAGCCUUGUGCACACAAUCUGGCCUGGGACUACGAUGUUGUUAUAACUACCUUUAACAGAUUAAGUGCAGAAUGGAGGCCCCAUAAGAGAAGUGUAUUGAUGCAAGUGCAUUGGCUUAGAGUCAUGUUAGAUGAGGGUCACACGCUUGGCUCUAGUCUGAACUUGACAAACAAAUUGCAAAUGGCUGUUUCACUGAUUGCUUCAAAUCGCUGGUUGUUAACGGGAACACCAACUCCUAACACACCCAAUAGUCAACUAUCACAUCUUCAACCCAUGCUUAAGUUCCUUCAUGAGGAAGGUUAUGGGCAGAAUCAAAAGUCAUGGGAAGAUGGCAUUCUUAGGCCAUUUGAGGCAGAGAUGGAAGAGGGUCGAUCACGUCUAUUGCUUUUACUCCACAGAUGCAUGAUUAGUGCUAGAAAGGCUGACUUGCAAACUAUUCCUCCUUGCAUCAAGAAAGUGACAUUUCUCAAUUUCACUGAAGAGCAUGCAAAGAGUUACAAUGAAUUGGUAGUUACAGUGCGGCGCAAUAUAUUAAUGGCUGACUGGAAUGAUCCCUCUCAUGUGGAAAGUUUGCUGAAUCCAAAGCAAUGGAAGUUUCGAAUUUCGACUAUUAAGAAUGUUAGGCUGUCUUGCUGUGUGGCUGGACAUAUUAAAGUAACGGAUGCUGGUGAAGAUAUCCAAGAAACAAUGGAUAUUUUAGUCGAAAAUGGUCUUGAUACUAUUUCAGAUGAGUAUGCUUUUAUAAAAUAUAACCUCCUAUAUGGUGGUGCCUGUAUGAGAUGCAAAGAGUGGUGCCGUCUACCUGUCAUUACACCAUGUAGGCAUCUUUUAUGUCUUGAUUGUGUUGCUUUGGACAGUGAAAAGUGUACUUUUCCUGGCUGUGGUAACUUAUAUGAGAUGCAGUCUCCUGAAAUAUUAACCCGUCCAGAAAAUCCCAACCCAAAGUGGCCUGUUCCCAAAGACCUUAUUGAGUUACAGCCUUCAUAUAAGCAGGAUACUUGGGAUCCUGAUUGGCAAUCAACAUCUAGCAGCAAAGUGACUUAUAUUGUAAAGAGACUAAAAGCUUUGCAGGAGGCUAAUAGAAAGAGUGGCUACGCCAUGGAUGAGGACAGUGAUAUUAAAGACAUUGAUGAGCUUGUUUCUCUUUCUGAGCAAAACAAUUGUAAUGCACUGUUACAGCAAGAUUAUACCAGACUGAAUGAUGAAACUUCCCAUAUAUCCCCAGAGAAAGUUCUAAUAUUCUCUCAGUUUCUUGAGCAUAUACAUGUUAUUGAACAGCAGUUAACUGUUGCUGGUAUCAAAUUUUCUGGAAUGUAUAGUCCGAUGCAUUCUAGCAACAAGAUGAAGUCGCUAUCCACCUUCCAGCAUGAUGCAGAUUGUAUGGCUCUUUUGAUGGAUGGAAGUGCAGCAUUAGGCCUUGAUUUGAGCUUUGUAACACAUGUGUUUUUGAUGGAACCAAUAUGGGACAGAAGCAUGGAAGAACAAGUGAUCAGUCGUGCCCACCGGAUGGGUGCUACUCGGCCUAUUCGUGUGGAAACUUUAGCAAUGCGUGGUACAAUCGAAGAGCAAAUGCUUGAAUUUUUACAGGAUGCUGAUGAGUGCAGAAGAUUCUUGAAGGAAGAGUUUGGAAAACCUUAUAGUGAAGGGGUGCGAGCUCAUCGUUCAUUGCAUGAUUUUGCUGAGAGCAAUUAUCUGGCUCAUCUUAGCUUUGUGCGGACAAACUCUAAGAUGUAAAUGUUCUUGUAAAAUACUCAUGGGACUCUUGGUGUAUGCUGUUUUGCUUGAUGAAAGUGGAGCAAUGGCUUGUCCUGAGUUGGAAUUUUGGAGGAUCAUCCAAUAUGAAGCUACUAGGGAGAGAAAGCCGUAGAUCAGUCAUGAUGGGAGGCUCUUCUUCAACCAUCGUCACAGGGAACUCAACACUUGCUUCUGCUACAACUGAAGCUGCCAAUUUUGCUGGUUAAGGGAGCCCAAAGAAGAUAGGGCCCAAAGGGAAGAUAUGGUGUGAUUAUUGUAACAAACCAUGGCACACUAGAGACACCUGUUAGAAGCUGCAUGGGAAGGCACAAAAUUGGAAGAACAUCGGUAGAUUUCAUGAGAGAAAUGGCCAAGGCAUGCAAGCUGCAACUGAGAGUCUAGUAACCAUACUUGAAGCAUCUCUAUUCUGUAAAGAGCAGUUGGAACACCUGUAUAGGUUAUUUAAUCCGUCUCCAUCUUCUAACUCUUUACAAUCCUAUUCUUUAGCAUAAACAGGCGCAGCAUCGACAGUUGGGGAUCCAGACAGCUGUUCGCAGUCAGGAGCAGCAGUCCUCGGUUUUGGUAUAUAGGCUCAAGCAGGCAUCUUCCCAAAGGAGAUAUCAUAAUUUCAUUUUCAAGGAUUAUUAUGACUUAUCAUUUUGUUGAGAUGGUUCUCGCUUAUGCUAAUUUUCUGCUUAUCAUUUGCCAAGCUAAUUGUACCCUGUGAAUUUCUCCUUGUUUUUGUCUUUUUUGUCUUUUUUUUUCUGUUGUAGGCUUAAUCCUUUUCCAAGGAGGGUUGCGAGAUGGGUCCAGGAGGGCGCAACAAUGCAAACCAACUCCGAAUGUAAUUGAUAUUGAACCCAGCAGCCUGCUUAUGGAAUUAAUAAUCUAUUGAUCCAAGACUUCCCUCAUUUCUUUUUUACAUUCUUGGUUUAGGCUUGUAUCUAAUAAACAUCCAACACUGUCCAGAUUAAUAGUAGCAUCCAGCUGAUUGAAGGUUUGAUGUGAGGUCAAUUUGAAAAUGUACAAAGAAAUGGAACCAUUCAGUUC